AUGCAAUGUGAAUGGGCUGGGUGCAUUUCCUCUGCUCCUGAAAUACUAGUAUGAGGCUGCAAGGAUUUGUGGGCAUCGUGAACCCUGCAGUCAUCAGCUAGAGAACUGUGUGUUAAGAGAGAUGGCUGGCUGAAGGAUAUGUGCAGCUGGGUGGAGAGAAGCAAAACAAGAUUAAUAGAAUCCCAGAACGGCUGAGAUGAAAAGGGACCUCUGGACCAUCUGAUCCAAACCUUCCUCAAGCAGGGACACCCACAGCAGAGCACCCAGAACCACAUCCAGGCAGCUUCUUAAGACGCUAACGAAGAGAUUCCCAGGGUGGAAGCCUCCCUCCUUUUUAGAGUGGAAAAGCUCACAGAGGAAUGCAAAGCUAUCCAAGGGAGCAGGAAGAGGCUUAAUUCAUUGCUGUAAAUCAGCACUCAGCCACCAGUGUGGCAGCAAUGUGGUUGGUUCUUCCUGUGAAUCUCUUCCUGUUUGAGAAACUGGACAAUCUCUAACAACUACUGACUGCUGCAUUUCUUUGGUCCUGUUUGAUUUGGACCUCUAAUUGUUGCUGUUUAGUUUUAAGUUCCCAGCAGACUGUGCCUGGGAUUAAUUCUCGUUAGGAAUGGAAAUAUCAUAGGCUUUUUGCAAAUAUGAUUUCUGUUUUUUUGGGCACUUCUCAUGACAAAUGAU